CAAAAAGCGUAGAACUAAUACAGUAGCUGUCUGUGGCGGAAAAUCAGAGACUUGGUGGAAGGUGCGAACUAAGCCGGGACAUGCAGUGAAUUACAAUUAGGGAGCUGACUUCGGUCCGGCAAUGCCGUUAAAUAGAUGAGUGAACAAAAGUUAUUUUGUUAAUCAGGGUGGUACCGCGGAACUUCCGUCCCUAUU
rnacentral:ncRNA from 1 species